rnacentral:rRNA from 1 species
GAUGAACGCUGGCGGCGUGCUUAACACAUGCAAGUCGAACGGGGUUUAAGAAGGAAGCUUGCUUUCAUUUUAAACCUAGUGGCGGACGGGUGAGUAACGCGUGAGGAACCUGCCCUUCAGUGGGGAACAACAACUAGAAAUGGUUGCUAAUACCGCAUAAUGUCGGAGAGCCGCAUGACAUUCCGACCAAAGGAUUUAUUCGCUGAAGGAUGGCCUCGCGUCCGAUUAGGCAGUUGGUGAGGUAACGGCCCACCAAACCUACGAUCGGUAGCCGAACUGAGAGGUUGAUCGGCCACAUUGGGACUGAGACACGGCCCAGACUCCUACGGGAGGCAGCAGUGGGGAAUAUUGGGCAAUGGGCGAAAGCCUGACCCAGCAACGCCGCGUGAAGGAUGACGGUCUUCGGAUUGUAAACUUCUUUAAUUGGGGAAGAACAAAAUGACUA